AGAAGCACCGGCGAACUACGUGCCAGCAGCCGCGGUAAUACGUAGGGUGCGAGCGUUAAUCGGAAUUACUGGGCGUAAAGCGUGCGCAGGCGGCCUGAUAAGUCAGAUGUGAAAUCCCCGAGCUCAACUUGGGAACUGCGUUUGAAACUAUCAAGCUAGAAUAUGUCAGAGGGGGGUAGAAUUCCACGUGUAGCAGUGAAAUGCGUAGAGAUGUGGAGGAAUACCAAUGGCGAAGGCAGCCCCCUGGGAUAAUAUUGACGCUCAUGCACGAAAGCGUGGGGAGCAAACAGGAUUAGAUACCCUGGUAGUCCACGCCCUAAACGAUGUCUACUAGUUGUUGGUGGAGUAAAAUCCAUGAGUAACGCAGCUAACGCGUGAAGUAGACCGCCUGGGGAGUACGGUCGCAAGAUUAAAACUCAAA
rnacentral:rRNA from 1 species